UACGGGGGGGGCAAGCGUUGUUCGGAAUUACUGGGCGUAAAGGGCUCGUAGGCGGCCAACUAAGUCAGACGUGAAAUCCCUCGGCUUAACCGGGGAACUGCGUCUGAUACUGGAUGGCUUGAGUUCGGGAGAGGGAUGCGGAAUUCCAGGUGUAGCGGUGAAAUGCGUAGAUAUCAGGAGGAACACCUGUGGCGAAAGCGGCUCACUGGACCAUAACUGACGCUGAUGCACGAAAGCUAGGGGAGCAAACAGG
rnacentral:rRNA from 1 species